rnacentral:rRNA from 2 species
UGGGGAAUAUUGGACAAUGGGCGCAAGCCUGAUCCAGCCAUGCCGCGUGAGUGAUGAAGGUCUUAGGAUUGUAAAGCUCUUUCACCGGUGAAGAUAAUGACUGUAACCGGAGAAGAAGCCCCGGCUAACUUCGUGCCAGCAGCCGCGGUAAUACGAAGGGGGCUAGCGUUGUUCGGAAUUACUGGGCGUAAAGCGCACGUAGGCGGAUAUUUAAGUCAGGGGUGAAAUCCCAGAGCUCAACUCUGGAACUGCCUCUGAUACUGGGUAUCUUGAGUAUGGAAGAGGUAAGUGGAAUUGCGAGUGUAGAGGUGAAAUUCGUAGAUAUUCGCAGGAACACCAGUGGCGAAGGCGGCUUACUGGUCCAUUACUGACGCUGAGGUGCGAAAGCGUGGGGAGCAAACAGG